AAACCGUUGAAAGGGAAGCGAACGGAGCUAGCAAUUCGUCUCGCCAGAUUCAGCCUCUGGCGCGUUGCGACGUGGACGCUCUCGAUCUUUGUGGACGAGUCGUUCGGGUACACGACGCGUGGCGGGCGCACUUCUGACGGACGAGCGUCAACGUCGGUCUGAGGCGGGCUACAAGGUCGCAGGGAAGGUAGACUGUCCUUCGGGGCGGUUGUUAAGCCCAGCGAACGCAUGGCUCGUGGCAGUCCGUGGCAUCUUGUUGCGACGCGUGCCUCUCUUCGUGGAUGGGCUGGGGUCUCGCUUUGUUGGUCCGGUUGUUGAUCGUGGCGGACGGCACGCCUGUGCGCCCAAACCACUGUCGGCCAACAGCUCGAUGAUUACACACUACGCGUCAAGGACGUUGACGGUUAUACGGCUCUCUUCGACCCGUCUUGAAACACGGACCAAGGAGUCUAACAUGUGCGCGAGUCUCUGGGUGAUAGAAACCCGUGGGCACAAUGAAAUUAAAGCCAGUCCUCACUGGUGAGGUGAGAAGCGGCGGCCUCGCGCUGUCGCUGCAUCAUCGACCGACCUAUUCUAUUCCUAGAGAGGUUUGAGUAAGAGCGUACCUGUUGGGACCCGAAAGAUGGUGAACUAUGCCUGAAUAGGGCGAAGCCAGCGGAAACACUGGUGGAAGCUCGUAGCGAUUCUGACGUGCAAAUCGAUCGUCGAAUUUGGGUAUAGCGGCGAAAGACUAAUCGAACCAUCUAGUAGCUGGUUCCCUCCGAAGUUUCCCUUAGGAUAGCUGGAGCUCGGAUGCAGUUUU
rnacentral:rRNA from 1 species